CAAAGAUUUAAGCCAUGCAUGUGUAAGCACAAGCCGAUUGAUGGCAAAGCCGCGAAUGGCUCAUUAUAACAGCCACUGUUCACUUGGUCCUACAUUAUCCAAUUGGAUAACUGUGGAAAUGCUAGAGCUAAUACACGCAACAAUGCUCCGACCUCGCGGGACGAGCGCAUUUAUUAGAACAAAACCAAUCGGGCCUCGCGUCCGUGCUUUGGUCACUCUGAAUAAACUAGCUGAUCGUACGGUCCUUGUACCGACGACGUACCAUACGAGUGUCUGCCUUAUCAACUUUCGAUGGUAGUUUCUGUGCCUACCAUGGUUGUAACGGGUAACGGAGAAUCAGGGUUCGACUCCGGAGAGGGAGCCUGAGAAACGGCUACCACAUCCAAGGAAGGCAGCAGGCGCGCAAAUUAUCCACUCUCAGUACGAGGAGAUAGUGACGAAAAAUAACAAGUCGGUUCUCAAUGAGGCCCGAUAUUGGAAUGGGUACAAUCUAAACCCUUUAACGAGGACCUAUGCGAGGGCAAGUCUGGUGCCAGCAGCCGCGGUAAUUCCAGCUCGCAAGGUGUAUAUCGUCAUUGCUGCGGUUAAAAAGCUCGUAGUUGGAUCUGCGCCUUCGGACCCGGUCCGUCCAAGCGGCGAGAACUGGGCUCCAAGGCUACUCUGCCGGUCUUCGCGCGGUGCUCUUCACCGGGUGCCGCGCGUGGCUGGCGCGUUUACUUUGAAGAAAUUAGAGUGCUCAGAACAAGCGUUUCGCUUGAAUAGUUGUGCAUGGAAUAAUGGAACAGGACCUCGGUCCGUUUUGUUGGUUUCGGAGCUGAGGUAAUGGUUAAGAGGGACGGACGGGGGCAUUCGUAUCGCUGCGUGAGAGGUGAAAUUCUUGGACCGUAGCGAGACGCCCAACUGCGAAAGCAUUUGCCAAGAAUGUCUUCAUUAAUCAAGAACGAAAGUCAGAGGUUCGAAGGCGAUCAGAUACCGCCCUAGUUCUGACCGUAAACGAUGCCAACUAGCGAUCCGCCGGCGGUAAUUUGGCCCUGGCGGGGAGCUUCCCGGAAACGAAAGUUUUCCGGUUCCGGGGGAAGUAUGGUUGCAAAGCUGAAACUUAAAGGAAUUGACGGAAGGGCACCACCAGGAGUGGAGCCUGCGGCUUAAUUGGACUCAACAU
rnacentral:rRNA from 1 species